rnacentral:rRNA from 1 species
GACCUGAGCUCAGGCAAGGCUACCCGC